rnacentral:lncRNA from 1 species
ACCCAUCUCAGUACAUCAACUGGGAUGGAGUGCACCUCACUGAAGCCAUGUACAAGGCAAUUUCUCAAUUGUUUUUUACCGGAGGAGCCAUUCACCCUUCAUUUGCGUACUUAAUAAGCCACUGAAAAAAUAAACUACUACUGGCUGGACAGAUCCUGAGAAGUUCUGUUACAGUGAUCUCAGUGAGCUAAUCUUCUCAAUUAUAUGUAUGUAGUUGGAUAAUAUAUAGUACUAGUAGACGUCGAAUUUCUUGAUAUGAAUAACAUUGAAUGUUCAAUAUAUAAAAUAGACACCUCUUACGUAGCUAAGAGUUUUCAGGUGAAUAACUAAGUUCGAAUUAAAGCAUAAGAAUGACAAGCACAACACAUUUAGCUUCUAAUUUCAUAUCAAUAACUGAUCUCUGCCUACAGUAAAAAAACUCGAGCAAUACGAAAGAGCACAGCUAGCUAGAACCUCAUGGGCAAGCAAUGUUUUUACUGCCUUUAUAUUUUAUAUAUGUUCUUUACAUUGGAUAUUCACCACAAAAACAAUAGAUAAUGUGGCUGUUUGUUUGGUGGAAGCAGAAGCUGUGUUUGUGUAAAAAAGUAGAAACACUUUUAAGAAGUUAAGAAUGCUAACUUCUCUCUCACAGAUUCUACUUCUUUUCCAAACACUUUUUUAACUUAUUUACUUCUCAGUUCUAAUUCACUUCUUUACUUUAAGUAAGAAAUCACUUUUUUUAAGUUUGGCCAAACGGCCCCAAUAAACGAGCAGCAAGCUGUGUCACUGACCUUACAUGGCAGGAAACUAUACAUGGACCUAGCAAUAAUAAAAAUUACUAUCAGAGUGCAGUUAUGACUUGCAAGACCAGCAGUCCUCACAAUAAAAACUGAAUUAUUUUUUCACCUCAGCACACAAAUGGCUAGCAGUAUGAUCAAUUUACACAAAAAGAAGCAUUGAAAUUGUGAAAUAUAUAUAUGAAUGGAGUGUGAAAGCAAUCACAAAUUAGGGGAAACAAUUAGAAAGAAGAAACAGGAGCUUACAAAAACAGCAUGCAGGCCUGGUUAAAAGUAGAUUUUACAGGUUUUUAACAUCCCUCUCCGAGUCUCCCACCAUCAAACCUUCAUCUGUUCAAGAUUUACUCGCACACACACACAUAUGACUUGUACCUGAUCAA